rnacentral:rRNA from 1 species
UACGUAGGGUGCGAGCGUUGUCCGGAAUUAUUGGGCGUAAAGAGCUCGUAGGCGGUGUGUCACGUCGUUCGUGAAAACCUGCAGCUUAACUGUGGCGUGCGGUCGAUACGGGCAUCACUGGAGUUCGGCAGGGGAGACUGGAAUUCCUGGUGUAGCGGUGAAAUGCGCAGAUAUCAGGAAGAACACCCGUGGCUAAGGCGGUUCUCUAGUACGGUACUGACGCUGAGACGCGAAAGCGUGGGGAGCGAACAGG